AGAGUUUGAUCCUGGCUCAGGAUAAACGCUGGCGGUGUACAUAAGACAUGCAAGUCGAACGGGAGAAGACUGGAAGAUUUAUCUACUGGUUGGACACCGUGGCGGACGGGUGAGUAACACGUAAGCAACCUGCCUAUAAGAGGGGAAUAACAGUGAGAAAUUACUGAUAAUACCGCAUAAGCUGGAGGUAUCGCAUGAUACAUUCAGAAAAGAUUUAUCGCUUAUAGAUGGGCUUGCGUCUGAUUAGCUAGUUGGUGAGAUAACAGCUCACCAAGGCGACGAUCAGUAGCCGGAUUGAGAGGUUGAACGGCCACAUUGGGACUGAGACACGGCCCAGACUCCUACGGGAGGCAGCAGUCGGGAAUAUUGCACAAUGGAGGAAACUCUGAUGCAGUGACACCGCGUAUAGGAAGAAGGUCUUAGGAUUGUAAGCUAUUGUCGUGUGAGAAGAAAAUGACCAUCACAGGAGGAAGCCCUGGCUAAAUAUGUGCCAGCAGCCGCGGUAAUACAUAUGGGGCGAGCGUUAUCCGGAUUUAUUGGGUGUAAAGGGUGCGUAGGCGGGAAAAUAAGUCAGUAUGUGAAAUCCCUCGGCUCAACUGAGGAACUGCAACUGAAACUAUUUUUCUUGAGUGUUGAAGGGGAAAGUGGAAUUCCUAGUGUAGCGGUGAAAUGCGUAGAGAUUAGGAGGAACACCAGUGGCGAAGGCGACUUUCUGGGCAACAACUGACGCUGAGGCACGAAAGUGUGGGGAGCAAACAGGAUUAGAUACCCUGGUAGUCCACACCGUAAACGAUGGAUACUAGGAGUUGGCAAAAAUAUUGUCGGUUCCGCAGUUAACGCAUUAAGUAUCCCACCUGGGGAGUACGACCGCAAGGUUAAAACUCAAAGGAAUUGACGGGGGCCCGCACAAGCAGUGGAGUAUGUGGUUUAAUUCGAAGCAACGCGAAGAACCUUACCAGGGCUUGACAUAUACAGGAAUAUAUAAGAGAUUAUAUAGCUCUACGGAGUCUGUAUACAGGUGGUGCAUGGUUGUCGUCAGCUCGUGUCGUGAGAUGUUGGGUUAAGUCCC
rnacentral:rRNA from 1 species